rnacentral:tRNA from 1 species
GCCUGGGUGGCUCAGUUGGUUAAGCACCUGACUUCGGCCCAGGUCAUGAUCUCACAGCUUGUGGGUUCGAGCCCCAUGUUGGGCU